rnacentral:misc_RNA from 1 species
GAUGAAGAACGUAGCGAAAUGCGAUAAGUAAUGUGAAUUGCAGAAUUCCGUGAAUCAUCGAAUCUUUGAACGCACAUUGCGCCCCCUGGUAUUCCGGGGGGCAUGCCUGUCCGAGCGUCAUUGCAACCCUCAAGCGCGGCUUGUGUGUUGGGCUUCGUCCCCCCGUGGACGUGCCCGAAAGGCAGUGGCGGCGUCCCGAAUGGUGCCCGAGCGUAUGGGAACUCUCUUCCGCUCGAACCGGCCCAUUCGGCGCUGAUCGAACCCCAAUUUUUUUUUACCGGUUGACCUCGGAUCAGGUAGGGAUACCCGCUGAACUUAAGCAUAUCAAUAAGCGGAGGA